rnacentral:rRNA from 1 species
AUGGAUCUGGCGCCCCAGGACGUCCUCGCGGAGGUCCUCCGCCGCCUCGCGCCGCGCAGCCUGGCCGCGUGCCGCUGCGUGUGCAAGGGGUGGCGCGCCGUCGUCGACGCCAACCGCCUGCUCCGCCCGGAUCUGCUCCCGCUCAUGCUCGACGCCAUCUUCUACGAGACCUGUCCCUAUAACAUACCCAUGCUUUUCUCCGGCCCCGCCACAGGCCGCAGGGUCACCGGUAAGCUCGACUACCUGGACUGGCUGCUCAACGACGUUUUCCCGAUCAUGGACUGCUGCAACGGCCUCCUCCUGAUGUGCUAUCACGUGGUCAACCCCGCCACGCCGCAGUGGGUGCGUCUGCCCCCUCUGCCGCCCUCGUGCACGGCGGCAGGCUGCACACGUUGCAGCAGCGAGAAUCGCUACCUCGCGUACGAUCCGGCCCUGUCGCCGUACUACGAGGUGUUCUUGAUCCCUAACAUUUCCUUCAAGCUUCCGACGAGGCAUAUCUGUAUGCACAUUUGUGGUGAUGAUGAGUCGGUGUCCGCGAUGGAAUGGCCACCCUCGCCUUACAUCAUGCACGUCUUCUCCUCCAAGACCGGUUGCUGGAAGGAAAGAUCGCUUCUUCGCGAAGGGGAGGCCACGGGGACGGUUGCGGAUGUGAAAGCGGUUUAUGACACUGUAUCAUUUCUCCUCUAUGCCGCCUAUUCUGUUGAACUGUCGCGUUACUCUUGUAAACCUGUGAUGUAUAUCUUGUUGAUGUUGUAA